rnacentral:rRNA from 1 species
AGUGGGGAAUAUUGCACAAUGGGCGCAAGCCUGAUGCAGCCAUGCCGCGUGUAUGAAGAAGGCCUUCGGGUUGUAAAGUACUUUCAGCAGUGAGGAAGGUUCAUACGUUAAUAGCGUAUGGAUUUGACGUUAGCUGCAGAAGAAGCACCGGCUAACUCCGUGCCAGCAGCCGCGGUAAUACGGAGGGUGCGAGCGUUAAUCGGAAUUACUGGGCGUAAAGCGCAUGCAGGUGGUUUGUUAAGUCAGAUGUGAAAGCCCGGGGCUCAACCUCGGAAUUGCAUUUGAAACUGGCAGGCUAGAGUACUGUAGAGGGGGGUAGAAUUUCAGGUGUAGCGGUGAAAUGCGUAGAGAUCUGAAGGAAUACCGGUGGCGAAGGCGGCCCCCUGGACAGAUACUGACACUCAGAUGCGAAAGCGUGGGGAGCAAA